rnacentral:rRNA from 1 species
UACGUAGGUGGCAAGCGUUUGUCCGGAUUUAUUGGGUUUAAAGGGUGCGUAGGCGGCUUUGUAAGUCAGUGGUGAAAUACUCCAGCUUAACUGGAGGGGUGCCAUUGAUACUGCGGAGCUUGAGUACAGAUGAGGUAGGCGGAAUUGACGGUGUAGCGGUGAAAUGCUUAGAUAUCGUCAAGAACACCGAUAGCGAAGGCAGCUUACUAGACUGUAACUGACGCUGAUGCACGAAAGUGUGGGGAUCAAACAGG